rnacentral:rRNA from 1 species
CAGUCGCCGCGGGAAUACGUAGGUGGCAAGCGUUGUCCGGAAUUAUUGGGCGUAAAGGGCUCGCAGGCGGUUUCUUAAGUCUGAUGUGAAAGCCCCCGGCUCAACCGGGGAGGGUCAUUGGAGACUGGGAAACUUGAGUGCAGAAGAGGAGAGUGGAAUUCCACGUGUAGCGGUGAAAUGCGUAGAGAUGUGGAGGAACACCAGUGGCGAAGGCGACUCUCUGGUCUGUAACUGACGCUGAGGAGCGAAAGCGUGGGGAGCGAACAGGAUUAGAUACCCCCGUAGUCCCUGUCUCUUAUAC